rnacentral:rRNA from 1 species
GGACUACCAGGGUAUCUAAUCCCGUUUGCUCCCCUGGCUUUCGCGCCUCAGCGUCAGAAAAGGUCCAGUCGAUUGCUUUCGCCAUCGGUGUUCCUUCCGAUAUCUACGCAUUUCACCGCUCCACCGGAAGUUCCAUCGACCCCUACCUCCCUCCAGCCGGCCAGUAUCCGAGGCACUUUUCCGGUUGAGCCGAAAGAUUUCACCCCAGACUUGACCGACCGCCUACGCGCCCUUUAUGCCCAGUGAUUCCGAACAACGUUUGCACGGUUCGUCUUACCGCGGCUGCUGGCAC